AGCCCUCUGUAUCCGUGCUGAGAUUUCGUCGGAGAUAAACCCAUGGGCUGAUGAUACUUCCCAGACAAGUGAAGCU
rfam:Trichobilharzia regenti genome assembly, scaffold: TRE_scaffold0002258